CGUAGGCACAUAUUGUCGAACCAUAUAAAUUCUUGGUGUUAUUUAUCUUGGUUAUUUGUUUUCGAUUUCCGGAGAUUGUUCUAUUUUUCCCAUUCUUAAGCGCGAUAUUUUCAACAAUCCUAACUCCUAAUCUCUCUCUUCAUAGCCUUAAGUAAGGCAUUAGAUGAUGUUGAUUUCUCUUAUAGACAGAUGUUGGGUGCAAAACUUAAUAAACCAAGGCAUAAUAGCAAUGAUAAAAUCUGGUGAAAGUGACAUUGAAUUAACUCAUGAGAUAUUGUUAGCUCUCCAUUGGACCAAUACUGAGAGGUAUAAAACUUGAAAAUACAGGCAAAUAAAGAGUUUGAACAAAUACCAUGACCUGAAACAAAUUGACCAAUAUCAAGAACAGAGACAGGGCUAGGUUCUCCAUUGGUUUAUAAAUUCAGUUGGUCAAACUAAUUGAAUAAUGUAAAUUUGGUUUUGCAAAUGAGUGACAAAUUUGGACCUGAUUUCUCUUCGACCAUUGCUAUCAAGGUGAACUAUAAUCCUAAAGUUUCAGAGGUACUGCCAUUACUUUUUUAUAUGUGUUUUAUACAUUUUUACUUUGUUUUUUGGUUUUUCUAAUCUUUGAUUGAGAAAUUAAGCACAGUUUGAAAAAGUGCCAAUCUUUUUUUUUUUUUGUAAUGGCGCUGUGCUAAUCUUUAUAAAUACAACGUUUUAAACUGGCAAAAAAAUUAAGGUUGUGAUGUUUGUAGUUAGUGUAUGUGAUUAAUUGUGCCCGACUGUGUUGUAUGAUUUUCUUUCUUUAUUUUUCUUUUGUGGACUGUGGCAUUGCCUUCGUUUGUAUAUGUUUUGUGUCUUGCCAAUUUAAAGUUUAUUUUGUUGCUUUUAAAAUUUUCAUGUUAGCGUGAUGUUCAAACUUUGUGACCUUCUGAAAUAGGUGGGAGCAUAAUUCAUUCUACUAUAGAUUGUUUCCGUUUUCAUUUCCAUGAGUUAAAAGCUCAAAUCUCUAUAUUUUUGUGUUGGAGAAGUUUGUGGAACAAAUUGUGCUUUGCUCUACAAAUGACCAAUGUCUAUGUUUUUACCUAUUUUGAUAAUGCUUGAAUUAUGCUUCUUGGUUUUUAAUUGGGUUUUUGAGUAUUGAGUUGGAUAGAUAGUUCAUGGGUUUGGUUGCAUAUUUUUUGGAAAAAGAAAAACACAAAGAGGGCAACACACUGAGGAUAAACUUUUUCUCUUCAGGUUAGCAUUACUUCUUUUUCCUACAAGUCAUACAUGUGCUAAUAGUGUUGAACAAUGCCUAAUUUGGUUAAACUCUUCUCAUUUUGAUAAUUACCUUUUCCACUGCCUUCUCGAACUUGGAUUUAGUUUGAUAGAAUUUUGGUUUUAAGCAUUUAUAUAAAAAUAUCUCAUUCCAAUCAAGAAGUCAUUGAUCUAUUAACUCUUAUUUUGUUGAAGAUUUAGUGUAAAAGCUAGGAGUUACAAGUAUUACAUUCCAUUCACCAAGUCAUUGAUAUAUUAACUCUUAUUCGCUUGAGGAUUGGGAUUUUAACUCUUCUCAUCUUUACUGCAGUUACCCAAUUACAAGAAUAAACAUUCUCCAUUGCUUCUACCAACAAAUUGAAAACCGCAACAUUAAAAAUUCAUCACUGCGAUUUCACCCAUUUAUCAUAAAAUUGGAAGAUAUAACUUCAUACCAUCUCAGAGCAUCGCAAAGCAGAAAUAAAGGUUUUAAUUUUCUCUUGCUCCCUUAUUGGUCAUUCUUUCUCUACUUUUCCUCAAUUUAAGUCUACAAACAAGCUACCGUUUGUAAGUUCUAUCAAUCUUCAAUUUUUAAUUUUCUUGUUUUGAUUUUAGUUUUUUAUCACUAAUUUUAAUCAUUUGUGUCCACUAAUGAUAUCUUGGUAUGUUAAUUUGAAAACAUGUCCCUUCGCAUUGUAAAAUCUGGCAAAUUAUUUGAUGCAAUUCUGAUUUGAGCUUUUUAGACUUUACAAAUAGGAAGAUGAGGAGACAAAAAGAAGAAGUACAAAGGGAUACAUUUGGCUUCCACUUUUGAGGUUCCUUCCAUAAACACCCAAAAACUGGUGACUGGCACCCUGGAAUUACAAUCUAAACGGAGUUCUCCACUGGCUUAAGUAGAGUGGAGAACUCAAGUACAGAUCUCUCAAUCUGUUUCUCAAACUUAGAACCUCUGGUCUCUACAAAAAGAAGCAGUUUGAAAGAUUAAAAUGUUGUCAUUUGGUAUAGAUGAUCUUGGCAGGGCCCGUUUAUUUGGCUUCUCUAAGUCUUACUAUACUAGACUGGACUAACACUUAGUCCAGUGUGUGUUUGGAGCAGGGACUACUUUUAAUGGUACUACAAGGGACUCGCCUCGACCAGCAACCUCUUUAGGUGGUCUUUGCGAGACCCCCCAAAAACAACAAGACUGUUAAGACCGUAUUCGUUCGUCUGCUUCGCUUGUCUUCUUCAUUCGUCUGCUUCGCUAACCAACUCUCCCAACAGGUCUCAAAUCGAUGGGCUCCAGCUCGAAGAAGAGUCUAGGUCGGCCGGAUCUGGGGCCUUAGACGAUGACGGUGGUUUGUUGUUUGAUACAGGAUCUGCCAUAUCCCAGAUGACAUAACCCGUAUGACAAAACCCAGAUGACAAAGUUUGAAACAAAAAAACAAAGAAACUUUUUGAUGAUGAUGUCAAUUACCGAUGAUAUGAUUUGGAUUAUAAGAAAUGGGGUUGCGGGGAAUGGAUAUGUUUGGAAUUUCCAGUAAUAAUUUAGCAAAAAUGGAAGAUGAAUGAUGUAUAAUAGAAUCAGAGAGGAGUGGGUGGAGGAUCAAACAUGCUUCUGGUCUGCAAUUUCAACAUCCAGAUAACAAUAAGCUCUGAGAAAACCCAGAUGACAAAACGGUAACCAAAAGAGAAUUUUGAAUAAUUUGGAGGGAUCCUGAAGAUUCUUGAAAAAUGGAUGAGUUGAAGAUUGUGAAAAAUGCUGAGGCUUUUUCUGAGAAUGAGUGAAAAGAAUGGAAUUUGCUGAUGAGGGAGAAAAUAGAUAGAGAGAGAUUGAGACGGUGACAGACUGGAAAGUAAGAGGAGAGAUUUGGGAAAGGGGAAAAAGAAUUCUAGAAAAGGAAAAAAAAAACGAAAAAAAAAGAAAAAAAAUAUAUUUUUUUAAUUUUUUUAUUUUAGUUCUUAGUUUGACAUUGCAUCAAACUCCUUAUUAAAUCAAUCCAGCUUAGUUUAUUCUAAGCUAGUUCAGUUUAGUCUCUGAAGCUAGUCCAAUUCAGUACAACAAAUGAACCCUCGGUUUCCUUUUCAGAAUUCUUUUAUUCUCCUUUUCCCAAUGUUAAUAUUUUACUCCAUGAUAGAAGUUUUAGGGUCUAAUUUCAUUUUUGUUGAUGAAUGUGCAUUUUAGCUUUAUUUUUUAUUUUAAUUUAGAUCCUACAAGUUCAAGGCAUUGAUGAUGGAAUUAAAUUCAGCGCUGCUUAUUGUUCCUUCAUUGGCCUCAUAUGAAAAUCCACAGCUUGAAAUGUGGGAGCAUGGUAUUUAGUAAGGAAAAUUAAUGAAAAUGGCUUGAAAACUUUGAGUUUUAAU